UACGAAGGGGCUAGCGUUGUUCGGAAUUACUGGGCGUAAAGCGCGCGCAGGCGGUCCUUCAAGUCAGAGGUGAAAGCCCCAGAGCUCAACUCUGGAACGGCCUUUGAGACUAGAGGACUUGGGUACGGGAGAGGUGAGUGGAAUUCCGAGUGUAGAGGUGAAAUUCGUAGAUAUUCGGAAGAACACCAGUGGCGAAGGCGGCUCACUGGCCCGUUACCGACGCUCAGGCGCGACAGCGUGGGGAGCAAACACGG
rnacentral:rRNA from 1 species